rnacentral:rRNA from 1 species
GUCUAGAAGCUUCGGCAAUGGGGGAAACCCUGACCGAGCGACGCCGCGUGUGGGAUGAAGCAUUUCGGUGUGUAAACCACUGUCAGAAGGGAAGAAGGCCCGGAAAACGAUAAAUUUUCCGGGAGAGACGGUACCUUCAGAGGAAGCCCCGGCUAACUCCGUGCCAGCAGCCGCGGUAAUACGGAGGGGGCUAGCGUUGUUCGGAAUUAUUGGGCGUAAAGGGCGCGUAGGCGGCCUGGUAAGUCUAGCGUGAAAUCUUCACCGCUCAACGGGAAGACGGCGCUGGAUACUGCUGGGCUAGAGUGCGAGAGAGGUUGGUGGAAUUCCUGGUGUAGCGGUGGAAUGCGUAGAUAUCAGGAGGAACACCGGUGGCGAAGGCGGCCGACUGGCUCGUAACUGACGCUGAGGCGCGAAAGCGCGGGUAGCAAACAGGAUUAGAAACCCGGGUAGUCC